UACGUAGGGGGCAAGCGUUGUCCGGAUUUAUUGGGCGUAAAGAGCGUGUAGGCGGCCAGACAGGUCAGCUGUGAAAACUCGAGGCUCAACCUCGAGACGUCGGUUGAAACCGUCUGGCUAGAGUCCGGAAGAGGAGAGUGGAAUUCCCGGUGUAGCGGUGAAAUGCGCAGAUAUCGGGAAGAACACCCGUGGCGAAGGCGGCUCUCUGGGACGGUACUGACGCUGAGGUGCGAAAGCGUGGGGAGCAAACAGGG
rnacentral:rRNA from 1 species